AUGAACGCUGGCUACGGGCUUAACACAUGCAAGUCGAGGGGAAACGACGGGGAAGCUUGCUUCCCCGGGCGUCGACCGGCGCACGGGUGAGUAACGCGUAUCCACCUGCCUCUGACUGAGGGAUAACCCGUCGAAAGUCGGCCUAAUACCUCAUGGCAUCGUCUGCGGGCAUCCAACGACUAUUAAAGAUUUCAUCGGUCAGGGAUGGGGAUGCGUCUGAUUAGCUUGUUGGCGGGGUAACGGCCCACCAAGGCUACGAUCAGUAGGGGUUCUGAGAGGAAGGUCCCCCACAUUGGAACUGUGACACUGUCCAAACUCCUACGGGAGGCAGCAUUGAGGAAUAUUGGUCAAUGGGCGAGAGCCUGAACCAGCCAAGUUGCGUGCAGGAUGACGGCCCGAUGGUUUGUAUACUGCUUUUAUGCGGGGAUAAAGUGAGGGACGUGUCCUUUGUUGCAGGUUCCGCAUGAGUAAUGACCUGCUAAUUUCUGCCUGCAGCCGCUGGAAUACGGAAGGCUGGGCUUUAUCCGGAUUUUAUGGGGUUAAAGGGAGCGUAGGCUGUGGAUUAUGCGUUGUUGAGAAAUGCUGUUGCUCUACGUGUGGACUGCUGCGCGUUCUGUUUAUGUGAGUGCUGUGCAACGAGUGGUGUUGUUGCGUUGUUGUCGUUGUAAUGGUUAGAAUGUCGUUGAUUGCCGUGUGCGUCGCUCUGGUGGGUGUGUGAUUGAUUGUGAGCUGUGAUUGCUGGGUUUUAGAGUAUGUGUACCUGUGCUCCUGUGGCUGAGCCAAUGUAUGUGGCCCUGCUGGCCCGCCUGCUCGUGUAAAGAUAAAAAAAUGUUAGUGUGUGUGUCUGCGCUGUGGUGUAUUAGUCUUGUGUCCCCUGCCCGUCCAUGUUGCUUCGCUGUGCCUGCUGC
rnacentral:rRNA from 1 species